AUGGCUGCUCCCGCUCUCAAGUUCGCCGCCGUCGUGCUCCUGGCAGCCCUCUGCGCUGCCGCACUGGCCCCGGCCACGUCGGGGCAGCCGAUGGAGGCGCUCGCGACGUGCAUCGAGGGCUGCGGGUGUGUGCCCUGCCCCGAAGGGCAGGUCUGCAUCACUGUGUGCACGCCCCCGCCGGCCUGCGAGGCCAGAUGCCGCUGCACCUUUUCCGGCACGGGAUGCUAG
rnacentral:rRNA from 1 species